rnacentral:sRNA from 1 species
GAGAUAACUCUUCCAAAAAAUAAUUUUGAAAUUUAAAAAAGUUAUGAUCUUUAGGCCUUUCAAACCCCCAUAAGGAGUCAAAAAGUGGCCCCUCGGACCAUAAUUUUUAAAUUGCACUCUUUAUUCUGAACAAUUCACUGAAAAGAUUUUUAAAAUCUGAAGAGAAAAAAGUGACAGCUAAAGGGCUGUUUUGCACGUUGGCCCCUAAUUUUUUCGAAUUGUCCACCCAAAAACUUUUCCGGUCUGCGAAUUUUGUGUAUCAUUAUACAUCUGCAAUAUUGUAACAUUUACUUGAAACUUUUUGAGAAAACGAACGACGCGUGAUUUUAGUUUAACACUGAAACUCCCAUAGAAAAUAUUUCAUAGGCUCAUAAAAUCGGAAGUACUCAAUAUUUUUUAUUCAAACUUGGAAUAUAUGUUAAAUAGUUAAGAAAUAAAGUACGCGUUUUCGUGAAUGUUGCAGAAUAACCUCCGAGGUCAAGAAAUGUUGUUUUGAAAUAUUUCAAACAACAUUUCGAGAUCGAGGAGGUUAUCCUGCAACAUUCACGAUAACAAGAACUUUAUUUCUAUUCUACUAACAGCCCAGUAUUUCUACAGAUCGUUUCUUCUAUAGAGAGACGAUCUAGGUCAUUUUGACGGCUGUUCCGUGUAACCCCAACGGUUUUGUUAGUAAUGUUUACAUGUGUAUUAAUCAAAGGAAUCACAUGCAGACGACAGACGUUUUCUUUGGAUUUUUAAUACUCUUCACUUAUUUAUAAAAUAUCUUUGAAUCAUGUUCCUAAUAUUUUAAGGGCAAUUUAAUACAAUUAUUACUACUAUACGUGAUAUAUUUUAGGUAAAAACAUGCAGUGAAAAUGUGUUAGGGAGGUCCUAGGAACAGCCGCAUUGAUCUCUUAAAAAUAAACAUUUGAGGCAAUACACAUCCUUUUGACUGGAACUAACACGUGAAAUUGACAUGGUUUUAAAAAAAAUUACGGUUUGAAUUUGUACUUUCAUGAUCAGUGCGAGACAAAUAGGUAUUUCUGAUCUGAUAAUUUACUGAUGACGUUCGUGGUAUAUUGGAGAAUAAUGUCCGCGGCAUCUCUUUGAUCUCGGCAAUAACUGUAGUAGAAUUCUAUAUAAACAAUAAUUAGGCGUCUUUUAAAAUUACUGAGGUUUUUUGAAUUUUUUUCCCCCCCCCCCCCCCUUUCUCAAGUUUGAGUCCUAAUAUCUCAAAAACGGUAAGAUAUAGAGAAAUGCAAACGCUUAUGAUUUUGUACAUCUAGACAAGAUGCAUCUUAUUCUUAAAUUUGAAUGCUCCAACUCAAAAAACAAUAAAGAUAUUGUGUUUUAAUAAA